GUACGGGUGAGUAACACGUGAAUCAUCUACCUUCGAGUGUGGAAUAACUGAGAGAAAUCUUAGCUAAUACCUCAUAAUGCCUACGGGCCAAAGCAGCAAUGCGCUUGAAGAGGAGUUCGCGGCAGAUUAGUUAGUUGGCGGGGUAAUGGCCCACCAAGACGAUGAUCUGUAUCCGGCCUGAGAGGGCGCACGGACACACUGGAACUGAAACACGGUCCAGACUCCUACGGGAGGCAGCAGUGGGGAAUUUUGCGCAAUGGGGGAAACCCUGACGCAGCAACGCCGCGUGGAGGAUGAAAUCCCUUGGGAUGUAAACUCCUUUCGAUAGGGAAGAUAAUGACGGUACCUAUAGAAGAAGCCCCGGCUAACUUCGUGCCAGCAGCCGCGGUAAUACGAGGGGGGCAAGCGUUGUUCGGAAUUAUUGGGCGUAAAGGGUGCGUAGGCGGUUUGACAAGUCUGAUGUGAAAUCUAUGGGCUCAACCCAUAGUCUGCAUUAGAAACUGUCGGGCUUGAGUAUGGGAGAGGUGAGUGGAAUUUCCGGUGUAGCGGUGAAAUGCGUUGAUAUCAGGAGGAACACCCAU
rnacentral:rRNA from 1 species